ACGACGCUGGCGGCGUGCCUAAUACAUGCAAGUUGAACGCAACAAAGACACCAGAGCUUGCUCUACCGUCUUUGUUGAGUAGCGAACGGGUGAGUAACGCGUGGGUAACCUGCCUUAUAGCGGGGGAUAACUAUUGGAAACGAUAGCUAAUACCGCAAUAACAAUAGAGAUUGCAUAAUCUUUAUUUAGAAAGUGCCAACUGGUACACUAUGAGAUGGACCCGCGUUGUAUUAGCUAGUUGGUAGUGUAAUGGACUACCAAGGCGAUGAUACAUAGCCGACCUGAGAGGGUGAUCGGCCACAUUGGGACUGAGACACGGCCCAAACUCCUACGGGAGGCAGCAGUAGGGAAUCUUCGGCAAUGGACGAAAGUCUGACCGAGCAACGCCGCGUGAGUGAAGAAGGUUUUCGGAUCGUAAAACUCUGUUGUUAGAGAAGAAUGUUGAUUAGAGUGGAAAAUUAAUCAAGUGACGGUAUCUAACCAGAAAGGGACGGCUAACUACGUG
rnacentral:rRNA from 1 species